rnacentral:lncRNA from 1 species
UGACAUUCUACGAAGUAGAAAACGAAAUCCAUUUUUUUCAUUGAAUCUACAAUGUUUAAAAUACGUGAUCUACGUAAAUAUGAGUAUUCUAAAAAUAUUUAGAAUACACAUUCCGCGCUUAACGUAUCGUUCUAAAAUCUUUAGAAAUCAAAAUCUACACAUUAAUAUAAAUCUAAAAUACGUAGAAACCGACUUCUACAUAUUUACUAUAAAUCUAAAACAUGUAGAAAUCAAAAUCUAAACAUUACUAUAAUUCUAAAAAACUGUAGAAUCCGAUUUCUACAUAUUAGUUAUAUUCUACGAAUAAGAAAUCAGUUCCUAAAAAUAUGAAAACAAAAUAUUUGAGAAUACUCACUUUUAUAUUUUGAAAAAAAAAAUUAAUUUUAAAAAAAUAAAAAUAAAAAAACGAAAAAGGAACAAAAAACAAAAAAAGAAUAAAAAUUUACAAUUUUAAGGGCAUUACUGCCAUUUUGAAAAAAAUUAGUCUAAUAGGACAUAAAGUAAUAUAGAUUAGUAUAAAGGGAUAUAGUUACCAUUUUUUUGCUCUAAAAAAACAAUUUUCCCAUUAUUUUUUUUGUUUGUUUACUUUUUUACAAUAAUAUCUCACCUAGCGUAGUUUACGCCCCAAUUAUACUGUGGUGUUAUGUUUUUUUUUUGACAACAAUAACUAUGAUAAGAAACUUACCGGCUCGAAAAACCAAACCGGUGGAAUAUAAUCAACAUAAAACCCAGCUGAAGAGAAACUCCGAGCACCUCGUACAAUCUUGUCCGCCACUAGAUUAGUAGCUCUUGGUAUAUGUCAAAUUUUGAAGGAAGGGAAGAAGCAUUUACUACGUCGAAACUCCUCCAUGUGUGUAGCAAAAGCUGGCUAUUCGUCUGGUGAAGACACCAUCUUCACCAAUUAAGAACAGUCAAAAACUACGUCUGAAAGAUCAAGG